AUACGGAGGGUGCAAGCGUUGUUCGGAAUUACUGGGCGUAAAGCGCGCGUAGGCGGUCUGUUAUGUCAGAUGUGAAAGUCCUCGGCUCAACCGGGGAAGUGCAUUUGAAACUGGCAGACUUGAGUACUGGAGGGGGUGGUGGAAUUCCCGGUGUAGAGGUGAAAUUCGUAGAUAUCGGGAGGAAUACCGGUGGCGAAGGCGACCGCCUGGCCAGAUACUGACGCUGAGGUGCGAAAGCGUGGGGAGCAAACAGGAUUAGAUACCCUAGUAGUCC
rnacentral:rRNA from 1 species